rnacentral:rRNA from 1 species
CCUACGGGUGGCAGCAGUGAGGAAUAUUGGUCAAUGGACGAGCGUCUGAACCAGCCAAGUAGCGUGAAGGAUGACUGCCCUAUGGGUUGUAAACUUCUUUUAUAAAGGAAUAAAACGAGGCACGUGUGCCUUUUUGCAUGUACUUUAUGAAUAAGGAUUGGCCAACCCCGUGCCAGCAGCCGCGGUAAUACGGAGGAUUCGAGCGUUAUUCGGAUUUAUUGGGUUUUAAGGGAGCGUAGAUGGGUUGUUAAGUCAGUUGUGAAAGUUUGGGGCUCAACCCUAAAAUUGCAAUUGAUACUGGCAGUCUUGAGUGCAGUUGAGGUAGGCGGAAUGCGUGGUGUAGCGGUGAAAUGCUUAGAUAUCACGAAGAACCCCGAUUGCGAAGGCAGCUUACUAGAGUGUGACUGACAUUGAUGCUCGAAAGUGUGGGUAUCAAACAGGAUUAGAUACCCUAGUAGUC